rnacentral:rRNA from 1 species
CAGUAGCCGCGGGAAUACGUAGGGUGCGAGCGCUAAUCGGAAUUACUGGGCGUAAAGCGUGCGCAGGCGGUUCGUUAAGACAGAUGUGAAAUCCCCGGGCUUAACCUGGGAACUGCAUUUGUGACUGGCGAGCUAGAGUAUGGCAGAGGGGGGUAGAAUUCCACGUGUAGCAGUGAAACGCGUAGAGAUGUGGAGGAAUACCGAUGGCGAAGGCAGCCCCCUGGGCCAAUACUGACGCUCAUGCACGAAAGCGUGGGGAGCAAACAGGAUUAGAUACCCCUGUAGUCCCUGUCUCUUAUAC